rnacentral:tRNA from 1 species
UUCCUGGUGGCCUAGAGGUUAAGGACUUGGCAUUGCCACUGCUGUGGCUCAGGUUCGAUCCCUGGCCUGGGAA